AGAGAGAGAGAGAGGACCUGGAUGGGAGGAAACAAGUGCAAGGACUCACGGGAGUAGAGAGGGGAAACCAUAAUCUAAAUAUGCUGUAGGAAAAACUGUCACUCACACAAUGGGGAGAUGCAGACACUCCUGGAAUAUGAAUAUUAACACAAAGAAGCAGCCUUACUAGUUAGGAUGCCUGGGGAGCAUGAUUGAAGAGUUUUUGCUACUAAAGUCUGUUCUGAGAAGUAAUCAUGGAAUGUUAGAAUCAGAGAAACUCCAGGGAUCAACCAAUGACCAUAAUCAGUCUCCCUAUCAUGAAUGAACUCCCAGGGUUUAUCUACCAAGACACUUGUAAGAUAAGUAUGCUUACCAGACAAAGCAUCAAUCACAAUUCUAUAUCUUUAUUUAACAAAAAAUCUUCACAACUUUCUUUUUGUUGAAGAAAUCAUAAGUUUUGGAAAAGAACCAUAACCACCACUUUAUUAAACCAGCAUAAUCCAUGUAUAUUUUAUAAACAUUUAUAUUCACAGAGUAAUAUAGUUCUUGCCUCUCAUUAAAAGAUUAUCUUUUCUACAGAUGGACACCGUUAUAGAAAACCCCAACCGACUAAAGGCAGAUAUAUAGAGCCCAGACCCAACAAAUAGAUCUACAAAACAAAUUCUGUACCUCAGAGAACAAUGCAGAAGAUGGGGGAAAUGUUGUAAGAAGCAGAAUGUAGGAGUGUUUGUUGUGAGAUUUGUCUCCUAUGAAUGUCACAAUCUACAUUUACUAGUCUCACCAGCAUGACUGCCUCAACAUGAACUGAACAAACCAAAAUCCUACAUGUUAAAGUGAAUGUAGGAAAGUCUACAAAGUCAACCCUAUAAAAAGAAUUAUAGGCAGCUAAGAAAUGCUGAGAUUGGGAGAAAUAGUUUUCUUCAGGGAAAAGCACAUAUGAAUUGAUUAUACAAUACCAAAUGGUCAGCCUUGGAAACCAUAUAUAUCAAUGACUUUGAAAGAUACCAAAGAGGAAUAUCUGGUAUGGUUUCAUGUUAUGAAAAGUAAAGGAGAAACUAUGUGAUUAUAUUAUUAUAUAUAAUCUCUCAAACAUAAAAGAAAUAAUAAAAACACAAUAAAUGUUUAAUAUAUUUGUGCCUGAAAAUAUUCAAAUUAAAGAUAAUUUUGUAUUGUGUUCUUCCUUUUACAUGUUGGUUUAUACAUGUUCAUUAAAAAUUCUAAAU